UACGAAGGGGGCUAGCGUUGCUCGGAAUCACUGGGCGUAAAGCGCACGUAGGCGGCUUUUUAAGUCAGAGGUGAAAUCCUGGAGCUCAACUCCAGAACUGCCUUUGAUACUGAGAGGCUUGAGUCCGGGAGAGGUGAGUGGAACUGCGAGUGUAGAGGUGAAAUUCGUAGAUAUUCGCAAGAACACCAGUGGCGAAGGGCGG
rnacentral:rRNA from 1 species